rnacentral:rRNA from 1 species
GUAGGGAAUAUUGCACAAUGGAGGAAACUCUGAUGCAGCGACGCCGCGUGAGUGAUGAAGGCCUUCGGGUCGUAAAGCUCUGUCGCAGGGGAAUAACACAAUGAAGGUACCCUGUAAGAAAGGAUCGGCUAACUUCGUGCCAGCAGCCGCGGUAAGACGAGGGAUCCUAGCGUUGUUCGGAAUCAUUGGUCGUAAAGCGGAUGUAGGAGGCUAUGUAAGUCAGAUGUGAAAGCCUGGGGCUCAACACCAGAAGUGCAUUUGAUACUGCGUAGCUUGCGUGUCGGAGAGGUUACUAGGAUUGUUGGUGUAGUGGUUAAAAACGUAGAUAUCAACAGGAAUACCGGAGGCGAAGGCGGGUAACUGGCCGAACACUGACACUGAGAUCCGAAAGCGUGUGGAUCAAACAGAAUUAGAAACCCCGGUAGUCC